AGGAGAGCAUCAUUUUUUUGAGAUUUUAUAACUCAAACCAACUUUGGAGUUGUCUUGUCUGAUUUGGAGAGUCAUCAUUCUUGGUCUUCCCUCUUAAAGGCCACUGAUGAAGAGCAGGCGGUGACUGGGAUGAAUGCUGGUCAGAGAGGAGAAUCUUCUUUCCCCUAAACUGAUGCAGCAGUGGUUUUAAAGGAGAACGCUGCCCUGGAUAAUGUAGAAGAUGUCACAUGCUGUGCUGAUGUGGCUUCUUCAUGACUACAUCAAUUAUGCUAAAGAGAUCAUGAAAGUUGACAGUGAUGCAUGAUCUGUAUUCUUGGACUAUGAAACAAAAAGUG